UCAGCUUCUAAUUAAUCAUCAGUUCUUCAAUUUAAUUUGUGCCGACGCAAACCUUAUGUUCUUCGAGCUCUAAUCUUCAAGCACAUACCAUUUUUAACAAGCUUUAACUUCCAAUCCAGUUAUAAUAACCAAUGAAUAAAAAAUUAGUAUCUUAAGCUAGUUUAAACAGUGGCUAGGAGAGCAACUUAACUCUUCAAGUUGACAGCUUCCAACUCAUGAUCAGUUCUUCAACUAAAACUCUAAACAAAGAGCCUCAUCACUUGUGCCGAGGCAAACCUUAUGUGUUUCGAGCUCCAAUCUUCAAGCACAGACCAUGUCUGUUCCAACUUACAAUCCAGUCGUAAUAGCCAAUGAACAAAAAGUUAGUGCUUUAAGCUAGUUUAAAAAGUGGCUAGCAGACCAAGUGAGUUGGACUUGAACAAAAAAGUAUUUCCUAUAAACAUGCAAAGAGAUAAUAAUUAGAGGAAGAUAAUGGUGAUUAGUAAAAAUUGUAAGAAAUAUGUAGGGAGAAAGAGAAAUUAUGAUAUAAAUGAUUACUUGAGAUAUUAAAUUUACAAACAAAAGGUAAAAUUAAAUUGUUAUAUUCUAACUUACUCACGCAAGAGUACAUGCGUAUCCAUGCCAUAUUUCGCUUUUAUCCUCUUAUUAAAUGAAAACUAUUAUCUUAAUAAUUGUAUAAUAAAAUAUAUCUUCGAUAUAGUAAAACAAAGUAUGUCCUCUACAUAUGUUGCCACCUCAAGUAACAUCCCACCAUCAAUCUAUUACUGUUUACUUAGUCCAUCCAUCCUAAUUGGGAAACAUAAAUUUACUAACAACCAUUUAUUAUUGAAAAAGAAUUUAAUUCAUAUAAUAUAUUUGUCUUCCAAAUUUUGUUAUUUUUAAAGACUUAACUUAUCUGAAACUCUAAAAUAUUAAAGUAUAGCCUACUGCAAUUAAACUCAGAGUUAUUUAAUAUUUUUCUCGUAAAACAAUCGUUUAAAAUAACUAUCAACAAAAUAAUCAAAAGACUACGAAAUUAUUAAAUGAUAAAAUUUAAGUUAUUAUAAAUUUCUCCUAUGAAUACACCCUAGACCCAUCAAUAUCCCUAACACCACGCUAUUUAAAACCUCUUUGAGCAUCCACACACAUUAAUUAUUAUUAAAGGCCUCCCUGACCAAUCACAUAUGAUUCAUCGAUAAGCAAUCAUAUUAUUAUGCACUCGCAAUCCCCAUACAGUUUAUUGUAACGUCUCGAGUGCCAAACGUCAUCCAUACAAAGAACUUUGAUCCAUCGAGUCUUAUUCGAACCGUUUAAUAUACUUUAAUAAUUCUCAGUAAAAUAUAUUUCAGUAUACUUUUCAUUUUCGCUUUAUUUAAAACUUGCAGCAUUAUGUCCGAGACCGACUGACCGAUGUGCUACUCGAUGUAUUUGACAUGAAACUUAUAUGAUGCAUGAGUGAACAUGUGCGACUCGAUGCAUGUGAAGUAUGCUGAAAGACCAUUAGACACGACGCUCAAGUUUUACUUGAGGAUCAUAUUCUUAGUGGAUCUAGAGGGCUCGCAAGUCAGAUGUGAAUGAGAUUGAUGAGACUUAGUGAUUAAACAUGCGGUUAAAUGCGAAUGAGAUUGAUGAGACUUAGCGAUUAAGAUGAUAUGCGCACAUGCAUUAUGUGAAAAAGUAGAUUAUAACUACAUAACGGGAUUGAGUUAGAACCUCUUAUACGAUGGGGUAAUCAUUGGACAUAAGCGCAUACUUGACAAGUAAUAUUAUUCUAUAUGUGCUUUUUAUUUUGAUUAGUGUUGCUUACUGUUUAUUGAUGUUGAUGUGAUUGUCUGUGUUUGUAUCUUUAUUAUGAUGUUAAUCAGUCGUUAGAAAAAAAUGUUGCCACUAUCGAAAUUGAUUGAUUGGAUAGCGAAAGUGGGGACCCUCUCAGUUCAUUGGAGGAUCAUAUUCUUAGUGGAUCUAGAGGGCUCAAAAGUCAUAUGUUCAAAGAAUUAUGAUCCACGAAACUUCGAAAUGAACUUAUAAUUUUAAAAAGUAUUAUAAGCAUUUUUAAGAAGAUAGAAACUAUUUUCGAAAUGGUUUUAUCAUUUUCUCAAAGUUUUAACUUGAGUGUUGUGUCCGACGGCCUUUCAGUACACUUCACAUGCAUUGAGUCGCACGUGUUCACUCAUGCAUCAUAUAAUUUUCAUGUCAAAUACAUCGAGUAGCAUAUCGGUCGGUCGGUCUCGAACAUAAUGCUGCAAGUUUUAAAUAAAGCGAAAAUGAAAAGUAUAUGAAAAUAGAUUUUACUGAGAAUUACUAAAGUAUAUUGACCGGUUCGAACAAGACUCGAUGGAUCAAAGUUCUUUGUAUGGAUGACAUUUGGUGCUCAAAAUGUCACAGUAAACUGUAUGGUGAUUACAAGUAAUCUGUACAUGAUAAGGCUUUUCAUAAGAUGUAGAUGUUCUUCCCGACUUCCAUGGAAACAGGUCUCCUGGUGCAGAUCCAAAAGCAAAAAGGGAAUUAUUUGUGGCAUGAUCCUUGACACAAGUGAUAGACAAUUGGCUCUUCUAUACCUUGCUGUCAUUCAGGGUAUUGCAUAUGGUACAUGCCAUAUUAUGGAGCAUUGAAAUGCUCAUGGUCACACAAUUGACAUGUUACUUGCAUGUGAUGGCCUGUGAAAAAACCUGUGUUUGUCCAAGAACAUACAGAUAUUGUUGG